CACCACCCAUAUUAAUCAGGUCAAACCUAACCACUCAUAUUGAUCAGGUCACACCUCACCACCCAUAUUAAUCAGGUUACACCUCGCCACACAUAUUAAUCAGGUCGCACCUCACCACCCAUAUUGAUCAGGUCACAUCUCACCCCCCAUAUUGAUCAGGUCACACCUCACCAUCACAUCAAUCAGGACACACCUCACCACCCAUAUUAAUCAGGUCACACCUCCCCACGCAUAUUGAUCAGGUAUCCCCUCACCAUCUUAUAAAUCAGGUCACACCUCACCACCCAUAUUGAUCAGGUCACACUUCAGCAUCCACAUUUAUCAUGUCACAGCUCACCACCCAUAUUGGUCCAGUCACACCUCACCACCCAUAUUGAUCAGGUCACACCUCACCACCCAUAUUAAUCAGGUCACACCUCACCAUCAUAUCAAUCAGGUCACACCUCACCACCCAUUUUUAUCAGGUCACACCUCACCACCCAUAUUGAUCAGGUCACAUCUCACCCCCCAUAUUGAUCAGGUCACACCUCACAACCCAUAUUGAUCAGGUCACAUCUCAC
ensembl:lncRNA